rnacentral:rRNA from 1 species
GACGAACGCUGGCGGCGUGCUUAACACAUGCAAGUCGAACGGAAAGGCCCUGCUUUUGUGGGGUGCUCGAGUGGCGAACGGGUGAGUAACACGUGAGUAACCUGCCCUUGACUUUGGGAUAACUUCAGGAAACUGGGGCUAAUACCGGAUAGGAGCUCCUGCUGCAUGGUGGGGGUUGGAAAGUUUCGGCGGUUGGGGAUGGACUCGCGGCUUAUCAGCUUGUUGGUGGGGUAGUGGCUUACCAAGGCUUUGACGGGUAGCCGGCCUGAGAGGGUGACCGGCCACAUUGGGACUGAGAUACGGCCCAGACUCCUACGGGAGGCAGCAGUGGGGAAUAUUGCACAAUGGGCGGAAGCCUGAUGCAGCAACGCCGCGUGCGGGAUGACGGCCUUCGGGUUGUAGACCGCUUUCGCCUGUGACGAAGCGUGAGUGACGGUAAUGGAUAAAGAAGCACCGGCUAACUACGUG